GGCGGCGUGGUGCAAUGGGUAGCACUGGAGCCUCUGAAUCGCCCAAUCAGGGGUCGAUUCCCUGCGCGACCU
rnacentral:tRNA from 1 species